UGGGGAAUUUUGGACAAUGGGCGCAAGCCUGAUCCAGCAAUGCCGCGUGCAGGAUGAAGGCCUUCGGGUUGUAAACUGCUUUUGUACGGAGCGAAAAGGUCUGCCCUAAUACGGUGGGCUCAUGACGGUACCGUAAGAAUAAGCACCGGCUAACUACGUGCCAGCAGCCGCGUUAAUACGUAGGGUGCGAGCGUUAAUCGGAAUUACUGGGCGUAAAGCGUGCGCAGGCGGUUAUAUAAGACAGAGGUGAAAUACCCGGGCUCAACCUGGGAACUGCCUUUGUGACUGCAUAGCUAGAGUACGGUAGAGAGGGAUGGAAUUCCGCGUGUAGCAGUGAAAUGCGUAGAUAUGCGGAGGAACACCGAUGGCGAAGGCAAUCCCCUGGACCUGUACUGACGCUCAUGCACGAAAGCGUGGGGAGCAAACA
rnacentral:rRNA from 1 species